UGUGAUUGUGAUAUCAUUUAAUGUGUAUGAAUAUGAAAUCCUUGAAGCUGAAUAUGUACCUGUUGGAGAGGCCAAUCAUGGCUGAUAUUUAUUGGUUUUGUACAUUAUUGUUCCCCCUGUACCCUUACCAUUGAUUAUUAAUACUCCCAUCUUACCGGAUCUUCGUUCAUGUAACACAGUGUAUGCCAAAUUGCUAUGCAAGGAUCAUGAGUGUAGGUGAUGAUGAGAGCCGGAUCGCACUCAUUGCCAAGACUGAUGUAACGGCUGGCGAUGAGCUAACGUAUGACUACUUGUUUGAUCCUGAUGAGCCAGAUGAAUUUAAAGUCCCAUGUUUAUGCAAAGCUCCGAACUGCCGCAAGUUCAUGAAUUAGGACUAUAUACACAGAUCAGGAUGACAUUAUUGUUUCUCCACAAGGAGCCUAACCCAUCCCCUUCAUUAGUGGGAACCUCAUAGUUAACCUAAGCUGUAAUUUUAAUCAAACCAUAGGUACAGGAAAGAAAACACAAAAGUGGAAAAAAAAAAUUUUUCUUUUAAUUUUUCCCCAAUUUCUUAGUGUUUGGUUUUCUUGGAAUUAUGGCGCUGAAUAAAAGCCGUAGUGGCUUUAGGCUCUUGGCGUUUUGUAAAUGGGACUUAUAAUAUUGCUUCGUUCUAUAAAAGCUAGUGCAAGCCUCAGUAUAUUUCGUAUGUA